GCCGUCAGAGCUUAAAAUACAAUACAGUUAUCUCCUAAGUAACCAAACAAAAAAUAUGUGGUGUACACCAAUGAGACAGCAACCAAACAAGAAAAUAUAAGGUGUACUUCAAUGAGACGGCAACCAAACAAGAAAAUAUGAGGUGUACACAACCAAACAACAAUAUGAGGUGUACACAAUGAGACGGCAACCAAACAAGAAAAUAUGAGGUGUACACCAAUGAGACAGCAACCAAACAAGAAAAUAUGAGGUGUACACCAAUGAGACAGCAACCAAAUAUCAGCUAUUAAAAUCACCACUUACUAAGUU
rnacentral:lncRNA from 1 species